rnacentral:rRNA from 1 species
CCGAGUGCUUGCACUCAAUUGGAAAGAGGAGUGGCGGACGGGUGAGUAACACGUGGGUAACCUACCCAUCAGAGGGGGAUAACACUUGGAAACAGGUGCUAAUACCGCAUAACAGUUUAUGCCGCAUGGCAUAAGAGUGAAAGGCGCUUUCGGGUGUCGCUGAUGGAUGGACCCGCGGUGCAUUAGCUAGUUGGUGAGGUAACGGCUCACCAAGGCCACGAUGCAUAGCCGACCUGAGAGGGUGAUCGGCCACACUGGGACUGAGACACGGCCCAGACUCCUACGGGAGGCAGCAGUAGGGAAUCUUCGGCAAUGGACGAAAGUCUGACCGAGCAACGCCGCGUGAGUGAAGAAGGUUUUCGGAUCGUAAAACUCUGUUGUUAGAGAAGAACAAGGACGUUAGUAACUGAACGUCCCCUGACGGUAUCUAACCAGAAAGCCACGGCUAACUACGUGCCAGCGAGCCGCGGUAAUACGUAGGUGGCAAGCGUUGUCCGGAUUUAUUGGGCGUAAAGCGAGCGCAGGCGGUUUCUUAAGUCUGAUGUGAAAGCCCCCGGCUCAACCGGGGAGGGUCAUUGGAAACUGGGAGACUUGAGUGCA